GGUGGGGUUCCCGAGCGGCCAAAGGGGCCAGGCUGUAAACCUGGUGGCGUUACGCCUUCGGGGGUUCAAAUCCCUCCCCCACCA
rnacentral:tRNA from 1 species